UGAAAUGGAACUUUCAUGCUGGAGCAAGAACUAGCAUGAAAGUCGAUCUAUUACGACCAGCGCGGUUGUUCCUAUUUCAUUUUCUUCUUCCAAGCCCUUCUUAGAAAGCACUCACUGAGUUACUUACGGAAUCUCAAAUCUCUCUCGACGCCGAGAAUUAUUUAUGUGUCCAGGUCGAUUAGAGGUUCGGCUUCCUUCUCCCCCACCUUUUAGCCUUCUGGACCCCUGAAAAAAAAAAAAAGAAAGCUGAAAUCAAAAAGAAAAAUCUCAAAUCUCUCAUGACGCUGCGAAGAAUUUAUGUGUCCAGGUCGAUUAGAGGUUCGGCUUCCUUCUCCCCCACCUUUCAGCCUUCUGGACCACUGAAAAAAAUGAAAGCUGAC
rnacentral:lncRNA from 1 species